rnacentral:rRNA from 1 species
GAUGAACGCUGGCGGCGUGCCUAACACAUGCAAGUCGAGCGAUUUACUUCGGUAAAGAGCGGCGGACGGGUGAGUAACGCGUGGGUAACCUGCCCUAUACACACGGAUAACAUACCGAAAGGUAUGCUAAUACGAGAUAAUAUAGGAGAUUCACAUGGAUUUCUUAUCAAAGCUGAGGCGGUAUAGGAUGGACCCGCGUCUGAUUAGCUAGUUGGUAAGGUAACGGCUUACCAAGGCGACGAUCAGUAGCCGACCUGAGAGGGUGAUCGGCCACAUUGGAACUGAGACAUGGUCCAAACUCCUACGGGAGGCAGCAGUGGGGAAUAUUGCACAAUGGGCGAAAGCCUGAUGCAGCAACGCCGCGUGAGUGAUGAAGGCCUUCGGGUCGUAAAACUCUGUCCUCAAGGAAGAUAAUGACGGUACUUGAGGAGGAAGCCCCGGCUAACUACGUGCCAGCCGCCGCGGUAA